GUACACUCCUACGGGAGGCAGCAGUGGGGAAUAUUGCACAAUGGGCGCAAGCCUGAUGCAGCGACGCCGCGUGGGGGAUGAAGGCCUUCGGGUUGUAAACUCCUUUCGCUAGGGACGAAGCUUUUUUGUGACGGUACCUAGAUAAGAAGCACCGGCUAACUACGUGCCAGCAGCCGCGGUAAUACGUAGGGUGCGAGCGUUGUCCGGAAUUACUGGGCGUAAAGGGCUCGUAGGUGGUUUGUCGCGUCGUCUGUGAAAUUCUGGGGCUUAACUCCGGGCGUGCAGGCGAUACGGGCAUAACUUGAGUGCUGUAGGGGUAACUGGAAUUCCUGGUGUAACGGUGAAAUGCGCAGAUAUCAGGAGGAACACCGAUGGCGAAGGCAGGUUACUGGGCAGUUACUGACGCUGAGGAGCGAAAGCAUGGGUAGCGAACAGGAUUAGAAACCCGGGUAGUCCCAUG
rnacentral:rRNA from 1 species